CCACCCCGCAGGAGGAACGCCGUUCCUCCCGAUCCCCUCCCAUCGCCGCCGCCGUCCUCUCGAUCCCCUCGAGUAAGCGGCGCCGCCGUUGGCUCCCGACCAUGGCGGAUUCCCACGGAAGCCGCAGCAGGGCAUGGUCGCGUUAAUCGCAUGGAGGGUCGCGUCGAGGAAAGCGACGACCUCGCAGGCAUCGGGUCAAGCGGCUGGCCCUUCUUAAGCGAUUGCGCCGUUCUUUUCUUCCCCGGCAGAGAUUGGUGCCGCCACGGCCGCAUCAUGGAUUUUGCCCUGCAUGCCUCUGAUUUGGGAGUCUGUUUUUUUUUGCGUUAGAUCCUGAUUUGGGCGGGAUUUUUUUUCCCAGGCAUUGAGCGCGCGCUGGACGGUGGGAACUGUCGCGUCAAGGAGGUCGCUAUGGACGGUGGAUCCAGGGCGCUGCACGUCGCUGUCGGCCACGGGAGGAUGCCAUACCCUUUGGGCGCAACAAACUCUUGGCCAUAUCCUCUUCCGCUUUUCACAACAAGAAAGAGAUGCAUAUGAGAGGAAGAGAGCCUCCCCCAAGCUCUGUCUAGGCGAUGCACGGGAAAUUUGGAAACUAUCAAGGAGAUGUCCAAAGAUGAAUAUACUCAGACACUGAGACACAUUCUAAAACGUGUUUACGCAGGUGAUGGGGCUGCCGCCAACUUGGGCCCGCUCAAGAACAACGACUCUACAGGAGGGGGAUGGAGUCGCGGAAGCUCCUGUGCUAUUGGGAGCGACGGUUCCACAAUGAGCCGGUCUUUUGUCACAUCUGAGUUGGAGGAUGUCCAAGGCCAGAAGUGUUUGUCACCACUAAGCCGUGGCUGAGAUAAUACUGACGCGAUGUCCAGAUUUGGAUGUCUCAUCUCUGAACAAUUGAAACGCCGAAUACUCCAUGAAAGCUUGCCUAGCGGCUUUUGCGCAAUAUUAUAUCUUUGGACGUUUGCACUUCCGCGGCUCUAGACAUGAGCUUCCUUAUAUGAGUGCUAGCGCGCUACAUUGCAGAGAAAGCUUUGAGAAAAUGCUUUGUUGGGAUGAUAGACAAGAAUAAUCAAUCCUCAUUCCAAGGUUUGGAUUUUCUUCAACCCGCAAGGCCCAUCCAGUUGUGAGCUACAAUGAAUUUGUUAAGAGUUGGGAGAGACAACAUUGCACAUCAGAGUCUCCAUUUCAUCUGAGCAGGGUGGUGAGGGUCAGAACUGGUCAUGUUGAAAGUCAGUUUAGCGCAUCAAGGAUGGGAGGUUCAGAGAUUUGCAAGAGGUGAUGGAGGAUGGUUAGUUAUUAUGGCUCAUCAUAUAGCAGUGAAAGAUGAGUACAAGCACAAGCUUAUUCAAAAUUUGCAGUUCUUGACUACAUGGGACAUAUAUUUUGUAAUCUUUUUCAUUUCUUCUAAAAGGAUCAAAUAUGUAUUUUGUUCUUCCCAAUGUUCUGAAGGACG